CCCGCACGAAGAGACCGCUCCAACACAGGCCCGCACGAAGAGCCGCACAAACCACAGGCCCGCAAGACGGACCCCACAAACCACAUGCCCGCACGAAGAGCCGCAGAACAGUCCCGCAAGAUGGGGCCGCACAAACCACAUGCCCGCACGAAGAGCCCGCUGCAACCACAGGGCCGCAAGACGGGACUGCACAAACCACAGUCCCGCACGAAGAGAAUGCACAAUCCACAUGACCGUACGAAGAGACCGCAUCAUCCACAUGCCCGCAGGAAAAGCCUACACCAUCCACAUUCCCGCAUGAAGAGACCGCACCAUUCACAAUCCCGCACAAAUAACAAGCCCGCACGAAGAGACGCACAAACUACAGGCCCGCAAAGACGGGGCCGCACAAACCACAUGCCCGCAAGAAGAGCCCGCACCAAUCACAAGCCCGCACGGAGAGCCCGUACCAAUCACAGGCCCACGCGACGGGACCGCACAAACCACAUGCCAGCACAAAGAGACCGCACCAUCCACAUGCCCGCACGAAGUGACCGCACCAUCUACAAGCCCUCACGAAGAGACCGCACCAACCAUAUGCCCGCAGGAAGAGCCCGGACUAACCACAUGUCCGCACGAAGAGACCGCACCAUCCACAUGCCCGCACGAGGAGCCCGCAUCAACCUCAGGUCCCCACGACGGGCCCGCACCAUCCACAGUACCGCACCACUACCCGUACCAACCACAGGGAUUGGGACGUUAUUCACAAAACUGGUAGGUGAGGGGGAAAUGGUCCAGCGCGUGGGCCGGGUCAUGGGUAUGAGAGUGGUGGUUAUUUCCACCUCCAAAGGUGUAUAAAGGGGCUUUCUUGAGCAUGGUACUCAAUCGGGCCCUCUUCGAGUUCAGUUCUCAGAGAUACGAUAUUGAGCGACAGGUUCAAGAAAUCUGUCGAGAAACAUGGAAACAAUCAUGAUGCUGCAUUGCAUAUUUGAAGGUUAUGCAAUUUUAUCGGAAUGUCGGCCACAGGGAAUUUUCCAGAUGAUGAUAGGUAGGUAUAUUUCACUGGCACACUGCUGCCAGAUUGGUUUUGAUGUUCAAAUGAAAUGGUUGUGGGUGUGUGUCUGUGUGUGUGUUUUCAUCUGUACGAGUAAGAGGGCCACUGCAAUGGGUUGAGGUCAAUUCCUAGGACCCUAGAAGCGAGGGACACUGGUCUUCCACUAAGUUCGGUUUUUCAUUUAUCUCAAAUCUGAAAUGGAGAAUGCUACCUAUUUCUAUUCGUUUUGUAGUAGACGCAUUUCAUUUUUGAGGACUAGAUGUGAGCG